GCAGCUGCACGCACUUGAGCAGCACGCGGGCCUCACCCCCAGGUUCCACUGCGCGCGGGGCUCCAUUGUACAGGGGAGCAGGUCUGCAGCUCUCGGACUGAUUGUGUGUAAUUGCCAGGCGUCAACACUAACAGCCACUUCACGUAGACAACAGCCCGCUCCUCUCUUUCUCUGUGUGUCUCUCUCCUUUCUACCUGUUCUGAUCGGGAGCUCAAAUGAACGUAUACAGGCAUAUCGGACACGCGGACAGCUGCCCCGCCAACUGUCUUUGUGACGCAUUUGUUAACGGAGAAGAUUCCCUAGUUUACCCACCCGAGUGAGAGAUGAGUUGAAGAGAUGAAAAACUGCAGUGUAAUACCGAAUGACCAACUGCUGUGGUAUUAAAUUGGACACUCAUGAAGAAGGUUGUGAAGAACAUCAGCCAGAAACAAAGUCUGUGAUCCCCGAAUGUUCAUCUUUCACCAUCUGCAAUCACUCAUCACUGACCCAAACACACACACACACACACACACACACACACACACUCAGACCUUCCUUUCUUUCUGUCUUCUGUGUAUUGCAGGAGGUGACUUUGAAUCCAAAUUACCUGUCUGACUACUUUCUUAUAGAUUGUUUAUAAAAACUACUAAAAAUCUCUAAGACCAUCAUCCAAACUAAUAUUUCGCUGAUUGGUUUGGAUGAUGGUGUGCCUCUUAAAAGUUGUAAACCCAAAUGAAACUUGGAAUUGUAGAUCUAAAAUAAAGCAAGAUUCUGUGAGUGAA